rnacentral:siRNA from 1 species
AUCAAAACCACAGCAUCAGAG